rnacentral:rRNA from 1 species
GUGGGGAAUUUUGGACAAUGGGGGCAACCCUGAUCCAGCCAUGCCGCGUGCGGGAAGAAGGCCUUCGGGUUGUAAACCGCUUUUGUCAGGGAAGAAAUCCUUUGGGUUAAUACCUCGGAGGGAUGACGGUACCUGAAGAAUAAGCACCGGCUAACUACGUGCCAGCAGCCGCGGUAUUACGUAGGGUGCGAGCGUUAAUCGGAAUCACUGGGCGUACAGCGUGCGCAGGCGGUUUUGUAAGAUCGAUGUGAAAUCCCCGGGCUCAACCUGGGAACGGCAUUGGUGACUGCAAGGCUGGGGUGCGGCAGAGGGGGAUGGAAUUCCGCGUGUAGCAGUGAAAUGCGUAGAUAUGCGGAGGAACACCGAUGGCGAAGGCAAUCCCCUGGGCCUGCACUGACGCUCAUGCACGAAAGCGUGGGGAGCAAACAGGAUUAGAAACCCCUGUAGUCC